rnacentral:misc_RNA from 1 species
UUUCCGUAGGUGAACCUGCGGAAGGAUCAUUAUUGGAUUUUGAAACUUCAGGCUGCUGCUGGCUCUCCUCGGAGGGCAUGUGCACGCUUGUUGUCCAUUAUUUCUCCCACUGUGCACAAAUUGUAGACCUUUCAGUAGGCCUAUGUUGUUUUUCACAAUCUCUGAAUGUAAUAGAAUGGUUUUGAAUCUUGGGAAAUACAAUACAACUUUCAGCAACGGAUUUCUUGGCUCUCGCAUCGAUGAAGAGCGCAGC